GGCACUUCACCUCAAUGGCUUCAGGGAUGUCAUUGAUCAUGUCUGACCCUGUCUAAAGACCCCAGCUCUCUGUGGGUGUUGAUAAUGUCUGACCCUGUCUAAAGACCCCAGCUCUCUGUGGGUGUUGAUAAUGUCUGACCCUGUCUAAAGACUCCAGCUCUCUGUGGGUGUUGAUAAUGUCUGACCCUGUCUAAAGACCCCAGCUCUCUGUGGGUGUUGAUAAUGUCUGACCCUGUCUAAAGACCCCAGCUCUCUGUGGGUGUUGAUAAUGUCUGACCCUGUCUAAAGACCCCAGCUCUCUGUGGGUGUUGAUAAUGUCUGACCCUGUCUAAAGACUCCAGCUCUCUGUGGGUGUUGAUAAUGUCUGACCCUGUCUAAAGACCCCAGCUCUCUGUGGGUGUUGAUAAUGUCUGACCCUGUCUAAAGACCCCAGCUCUCUGUGGGUGUUGAUAAUGUCUGACCCUGUCUAAAGACCCCAGCUCUCUGUGGGUGUUGAUAAUGUCUGACCCUGUCUAAAGACCCCAGCUCUCUGUGGGUGUUGAUAAUGUCUGACCCUGUCUAAAGACCCCAGCUCUCUGUGGGUGUUGAUAAUGU